GGUUUGAGCCAGAUGAUUGAUGGAUAGUGAGAUAGAUAGUAUCCAGUUCAGGAUGAGAUGUCGUAUGAUUCAUUACCACCCACCCCCACCACCCAGUUAGCCAGUGACAUUGUUGAGGGUGACUUCGUACAUAUGAUGAGUUUAGUGGAUUAUGAGUCAAAGUUUAUCAGAUGAGAGUUCUUAUAGAGGACAUUAGUUUUUCUCAGAUGGGAGAUUUGAUUGACAUGGUUUUCUUCAUGAUGGGCCUGAGAUGGACAUGUUGGAUGAUAGUUGGAGUGGGCCUUAUGUUAUCCGAG
rnacentral:lncRNA from 1 species